AAAUUGAAGAGUUUGAUCAUGGCUCAGAUUGAACGCUGGCGGCAGGCCUAACACAUGCAAGUCGAGCGGUAGCACAGAGAGCUUGCUCUCGGGUGACGAGCGGCGGACGGGUGAGUAAUGUCUGGGAAACUGCCUGAUGGAGGGGGAUAACUACUGGAAACGGUAGCUAAUACCGCAUAACGUCGCAAGACCAAAGUGGGGGACCUUCGGGCCUCAUGCCAUCAGAUGUGCCCAGAUGGGAUUAGCUAGUAGGUGAGGUAACGGCUCACCUAGGCGACGAUCCCUAGCUGGUCUGAGAGGAUGACCAGCCACACUGGAACUGAGACACGGUCCAGACUCCUACGGGAGGCAGCAGUGGGGAAUAUUGCACAAUGGGCGCAAGCCUGAUGCAGCCAUGCCGCGUGUGUGAAGAAGGCCUUCGGGUUGUAAAGCACUUUCAGCGGGGAGGAAGGCGUUAAGGUUAAUAACCUUGGCGAUUGACGUUACCCGCAGAAGAAGCACCGGCUAACUCCGUGCCAGCAGCCGCGGUAAUACGGAGGGUGCAAGCGUUAAUCGGAAUUACUGGGCGUAAAGCGCACGCAGGCGGUCUGUCAAGUCGGAUGUGAAAUCCCCGGGCUCAACCUGGGAACUGCAUUCGAAACUGGCAGGCUAGAGUCUUGUAGAGGGGGGUAGAAUUCCAGGUGUAGCGGUGAAAUGCGUAGAGAUCUGGAGGAAUACCGGUGGCGAAGGCGGCCCCCUGGACAAAGACUGACGCUCAGGUGCGAAAGCGUGGGGAGCAAACAGGAUUAGAUACCCUGGUAGUCCACGCCGUAAACGAUGUCGAUUUGGAGGUUGUGCCCUUGAGGCGUGGCUUCCGGAGCUAACGCGUUAAAUCGACCGCCUGGGGAGUACGGCCGCAAGGUUAAAACUCAAAUGAAUUGACGGGGGCCCGCACAAGCGGUGGAGCAUGUGGUUUAAUUCGAUGCAACGCGAAGAACCUUACCUGGUCUUGACAUCCACAGAACUUUCCAGAGAUGGAUUGGUGCCUUCGGGAACUGUGAGACAGGUGCUGCAUGGCUGUCGUCAGCUCGUGUUGUGAAAUGUUGGGUUAAGUCCCGCAACGAGCGCAACCCUUAUCCUUUGUUGCCAGCGGUCCGGCCGGGAACUCAAAGGAGACUGCCAGUGAUAAACUGGAGGAAGGUGGGGAUGACGUCAAGUCAUCAUGGCCCUUACGACCAGGGCUACACACGUGCUACAAUGGCAUAUACAAAGAGAAGCGACCUCGCGAGAGCAAGCGGACCUCAUAAAGUAUGUCGUAGUCCGGAUUGGAGUCUGCAACUCGACUCCAUGAAGUCGGAAUCGCUAGUAAUCGUAGAUCAGAAUGCUACGGUGAAUACGUUCCCGGGCCUUGUACACACCGCCCGUCACACCAUGGGAGUGGGUUGCAAAAGAAGUAGGUAGCUUAACCUUCGGGAGGGCGCUUACCACUUUGUGAUUCAUGACUGGGGUGAAGUCGUAACAAGGUAACCGUAGGGGAACCUGCGGUUGGAUCACCUCCUUACCUUAAAGAA
rnacentral:rRNA from 1 species